rnacentral:rRNA from 1 species
GAUGAACGCUGGCGGCGUGCCUAAUACAUGCAAGUCGAGCGGACGGACGAGAAGCUUGCUUCUCUGAUGUUAGCGGCGGACGGGUGAGUAACACGUGGAUAACCUACCUAUAAGACUGGGAUAACUUCGGGAAACCGGAGCUAAUACCGGAUAAUAUUUUGAACCGCAGGGUUCAAAAGUGAAAGACGGCCUUGCUGUCACUUAUAGAUGGAUACGCGCUGCAUUAGCUAGUUGGUAAGGUAACGGCUUACCAAGGCAACGAUGCAUAGCCGACCUGAGAGGAUGAUCGGCCACACUGGAACUGGGACACGGUCCAGACUCCUACGGGAGGCAGCAGUAGGGAAUCUUCCGCAAUGGGCGAAAGCCUUACGGAGCAGCGCCGCGUCAGUUGUGAAGGUCUUCGGAUCGUAAAACUCUGUUAUUAGUGGAGAACAUAUGUGUAAGUAACUGUGCACAUCGUGACGGUACCUAAUCAGAAAGCCACGGCUAACUACGUG